rnacentral:rRNA from 1 species
GACGUAGGUGGCGAGCGUUAUUCGGAAUCACUAGGCGUAAAGCGAGUGUAGGCGGGUGCCUAAGUCCGUAGGGAAAUCUCCCGGCUUAACCGGGAGGGGUCUGCGGAUACUGGGCGUCUUGAGUUGGGCAGGGGGUAUCGGAAUUCCCGGUGUAGCGGUGAAAUGCGCAGAUAUCGGGAAGAACACCGGCGGCGAAGGCGGAUACCUGGGCCUUGACUGACGCUAAGACUCGAAAGCUAGGGGAGCAAACAGG